ACCUCCAGGAUGAUGUGGCUCAGAGACAACCAGCCUCAUUGCUGAGCACUGUGAUUUUUUUUUCUACAACCAGGCAGAUUGUUUAAACCACCACAGAGCAGGGGCAGAGCCUGCAAGAAGCUGAGGCAUGUGAUCUAAUACUUACAUGAAGACCUGUAGCAGUUUUGGGGCUGUAUCUUGUAUUUCCAAAGGAAGAAUUGCAAGUCCAUUGAAAUACAAAGCUUAACUUCUAGAGUUGUGCAGAAUAUCCCACAAAACAAUGGUAUCAACAACAAAGGCUUUCAUGUUGACCUCUGCUCUACACAAACUUAAAUCUGUUUUACAUCAGAAGCUGCAGGGACAGAAGAGUACAUGGGAAAAGAACAUGUCUGGGAGUUUAGAGAGGACCAGCUAAAUUUUCUGAGCUCCAGUGGGCUUGGUGACAUAACUAAAAAGCAACAAACAGCAGUGUUGGUUGCAUGGUGGCCUGCCUUUAAGAAGGCAUUCACUGCCUACCUCUGAGAGAUAGAAGAGGAAGGGCAUUUCUAUACAAGACAAUUUGAAGACUUCAGAGAGCGCUGGGGGAUCUCUUUGACUCUUGUGAACACUAUUUAGACAACAGAAUGACCUAAAGAAAGUGUUCAUUGUAGGAAGAAAAUUAAGGGAGCACCUCUGCUUGAUUUUCCACGACAAUAUCAGUCAGGCUGUGUCUGCGAGCAGCUACUACGGCAGCCUUUUGCUCCCUGUUGUAUUUUGGAACAAGUGAAAAUAUUUCAGCUACACUGUGUGGCCAGAUUGGAGUCUCCUGCCAAGACAUGAAGGAGUGGUAUAGCUCAGGGAUGAAGCAGUUCUGACAGCCAGCGCCAGAGGCAGGCAGAGAGCUCGUGUUGAUGGUGGGAGUCCCGUGGUGCCUUUGUGUGUGACGGUUUUAGAGCUUCGGUGGCAGCACAUCAGGCAGGAGACAACCCCAGAGUAUUAGAGUGGGCCUAAACCCAGCUGUCGGCAGAAUUGUUAUCCUAAACAGACCUGAAAACGAAACAGCUCAAAGCAACCUUGUGGUCCAAGGAUGAGCAGCCCCUAUGCAUUCCUCAGCAGGAAGGCAGCAGAUGAAAAAGUUCCCGAUGGUUCUAGCAAUAGUGCCCUGCACAAGCUCUUUGCUAUGGAACAUGACGAUGAAUGGGAGAAAAAGAGGAAGAGAAGGGCUUUGCACUUACCCCUUGCAGUGUAAUAGAAUGAGAAAUGGGGCUUUGGCCACAGGAUUAAAAUAUGAAAAUUGCAUCACGUGCACAUGAGUGGAGCUUCAGCCAAGUGAUCAGCACUAUCACAGCAGCGUCAUCGUUUUCACCAGCAUCCUCUUCAUCUUGUUUAUGAAAAUUGCAUACUGCAACAUAAACUUUUAGAAGGAAUGUAUCAUUACAAGAGCUGCCCUGACAAGAAGCCCUCAUUCAGAUCAUUAAUAUCUUCCCCAAAAAAUUCAUCAGGGACAGAGAAACACCUGUACAGCUGCACCAGAUGUUUCUUAAUAGUUCUGCUUGGGUUGCUGUCUGAGAUUGAUCAGUUCAAUGCUAUUCCUUAGCUACUAGAUCUAAAAUCAUUUACAAGCUCCUUAUUGUUAGGGCUUUGCUCAGCUGAAGUUGCAAAAGUGCAGUGGUACAUGCAUUUUCUUAAUUGCACAAUGGAUUUUUAAAAAGCAGUAAAAGUAAAUACUCUGAUGCAUAGUAAAUGACUGUUCAUUCUCUCCAGUAACCAAAAUAAAACAUAUUCCAACCAUAUGUUUGGAAGAGAGAUAGGUAAUAUAUGCUAAGAAACAGCAGAAAAUAUUUUCCAACUGCCCAAGUUCCUGGUUUUAGAGCAGUAAUUUUCUUCAGCACUUGAAAAAGAAAUCCUUGCUCAGGGUUGACUUGGUGUUGGUUUCUGUAUAAUAUGUUCAUGUACAUAAUGGAGAGCAAGCAUUACAUGCAACAUCCUUGCAAGUAUCAACUUUAUCUACCAGUCCUCCCAAGCAGGGUAUCCUCUCACUUGUCAAUGAACUGAAUCUUCUAUUAAAAACUGAGUUGAACAAAG